GGCUAGGUGAUGGAGAUCAGCUGAUUGCAGCACUCCCUUUCAACUGAGACUCCUAGGGUACUUAGGGCAGUCUAAGUUUAGCAAAGAUGCUCUUUGGGGACAGGGAUGUGCCCUCAGCAGGAUGGGAUGGAGCUACACAACAAAGGGCUUCAUGCUUCUCUUGCCAUUCAUCUUUUCAUGCUGGAUGCAGAGAAUAUGAGUUAUCUACAGCAUCACUGCCAUAACAUAUGGCACUUCCCAACACCUACAUGGCAAAUCCAUCAGAAGCUGUAACAGCUGCAGACUGACUCCAGCAGCGUGAAUGCUCUACCUGGUGGGAAACAGCCAUAAAAAAGGACUUUUCCCAUUCAGAAUUCUGAAAAGGCUACAGAAACAGAUGCACCUCCCUCAGCUGUUUUCCUGUCUCCAGGAAGAGCUGAAAGACUGGAAAACCACAGAAACCAUCAACUGAAUGUAAGAUAAACCAAAAGGGGAACCACUGAAGUUGCGAAACUUAGGUAGGACAGUGAAAUAUGAACACAAAAGAGGGGAUGGGGUAAAGGCAGCAGGGAAGAAGGAAGAGUUUAAACUUAUCCCAGUGUAUUAUCAGCAUUCCCUCAGGCAUUCUAUUCAAAAAGGUGGAAUUUAAUCUUCAUUGCCUUUGAAUAAGCAGUAUAAUCUCAAAGAACUUCUGCCUCACAUAUGCCUUUUGUCCUGAUAGCUGACAGAACUACUUCACUGAUAGUGUUCUGCUAAAAUACCUUCAGGGUAAAUGUGCUUUUAUGAACAACCCAUUCCCAAGUUACUGAAACUGUAAUGCUUUUAUAGGACAGAACCUUGGCAUGUGUAACAUAAAAGUCACUUUGGGGAACUGGAGCUGGUUGAUGGCAGCUGAGUCUGGCUUAAUGCUCUUACCAGGACAUCCUAUCUCCUGCCUUCUCUUGUGCAGAUUUUUUUUCUAAAAGAAACAGUAUCUUAGUUUCCAAAGUGCCACAGGAGCAUGAUUAGGCUCAGUCUCCUCAUUUCCUCAUCCCUGUGGUGCAAGGACUUCUUAGAGUGGUCGUGGAGCUGUGAGGUUAAUGCAACAUCCCUGAACUACCCGAGAGAGAUUGCAAGCCUCACGCUCUGCUCCUCUUCUCACCAGAGGAAAAGCUUCUGUAGGAAUGGAUUUUUAACAUUUAUGCCUCCCCCUUGUGUCUCUACCAUAUGAAAUCGACAGACUAUGUUUAUUUCUCAAAAGAUCUCUACAAAUACAAACUUUACACAAGGUGCUGCCUUAGAUUGCUGGUAAACAUGUAAAUCCAGGAGAGCAUUGAGAACAAAACCUUGAGUUGCUGAGUCUAAAAUCUCCUGUGGAAAUCAGCCAGAAUUACAACUGUUAAAGAAAUCAUCUGAUAUUUAACAGAGGAUAGGCAGCAUAAUAUUCCCCGCCUUCAUCAAGCACAAGCUAAGAAGAUACAAAUUGAAUAUUACUAAUUCUGUUCCACCACGAAGAAUAAUGUUUCCACCCACUCCAUGAGAAGUGGGUUUGAUUUGGGUUGGGAAGUUUGUUUUGGUGUUGUUUAUUGUCGGACUUUUUCUUAAAAAGUGAUAAAAGUACUUCUAUUUGGUAGAAUCUAGAGAUAACAGCAUGAAAAGCCAAAGAAGAGAGAAUUCCUGGCCUGAUCCCAAUCUCCCUGACAAGAAGGUCAGAGAUAUCCUUUUUUAUUAAGAGUUUAUCUGCACUGAGGGAGCAAAAAGUUACCUGAAGACAAGCAGAAGAAAAAAUCAUAAGUCAAACGUACCUGAUUUGCCCACGCCGGCUCGACCGAAGAUCGCCAGCUUCACUUCUGCACUUUUGGCCAUGCUGGAAGGAACACAGUGGUGGCAAACUCCCUCAAUUAUCAAAAGUGCAGCAGAAGUGUUCCCAGCUCCUGCCUUCAGCUUCACCGUGUCAUUGUGACGUCAAUGCAGAGCCUGGGGAAGAACACCACAAGGAUGGAACUGCAAGGAGCCAGGCUCUCCCCGUCCCCUGCCCACCCCCUCCUUUUUCUCUCCUUUUUAAAUAAUCAUGCUAAUUGGUGCUAUGUUCCUGCUUUAAGCACUGCAGUAACACCACUGACACAUUUGGCAUUCUCUGUGCAGAACCUACCUUCAGCUUUCUGGCUAUUGCUUCGUUUCACACUGGCACUGUUAAGACUGCAAAAGCAGGGUAGAACUUCGCGUGUGAAUGCAAACAGUGACGGGUUUGCUGCUGAGCUGAAGUACCCACUUUAGCCAUGAAUUCUAACAGGGGCGUAGGAUGCUUCCCAUGUCAGCACUCCUCGCUCUACGGCAAAAUGCAUUUCUAGCGUGUUAUUUGGGAGGAAAAAAAAAGCCCGAAGACUUUUCCCUAUACAAAAACGCUUGUAAAAAGAAAAAGUAAAGACACCUUACAUCGAGAAAAAUCACAUCCCGAUUGAACUCUGCUGUCUAAAUGCUCCUGCUUCCUUUUGCUUGAGAGUAUGCGACCACUCUCAGUCCGCACGGACGGUUAAGAGGCAGGAACUGUUCCAGGACGUUGGAAAUCAGAAAAUGGGAUACUCGGGGACUGGCACACCGGCUCUUGCCUCCCGCGAAAGCUCCCAGCAGCGCUGCUGCCCCGCUCCCGCAGCUCCGCUUCGCAAUUCCGUGCGGGCAGGUAUUGACUCCCAGCCUCCGCUGCUCCCAAACGCUCCGGGCAGGUGCGCGGGGGGCUCCGCGGCCACCGCACCCGCGGA